rnacentral:lncRNA from 1 species
UGGUGAGCUAUUUGAUACGGGUAAAAGACUACACCCGAGGACCGAGAAUAGGAGUAUAUCUACUCCUAGUACAGUGAGUAAACUUACUAUCGUCUUAAUUAUCUAGAGUAGAUUUAUUUAAUUGUGUGAUUUUAUGGAAAAAUGGUUUAAUUGGAAAAUUAUUGUGUUUUAUGGGAAAAUGGGAUUUUAUAAAAUAAUUUUAUAAAAUUUUUGAAAAUUUAAUAAUGAUUUCAAAAAUAGAGUAAUUGGAGACCUAUACUAUGAUUGUGUUGUUUAUCCAUGAUUUUACAUUAAAUGGCUUAUGAUAAAUGUGGGUAUGACUGGUUAUUUUUAUGAUUUAAAGAAUAUGUGAACUGCUUUGAUUUGCCUUGAAUGUGUUAAGUGAGCCAUGUCAUACUAUUGUGAUUUUAUUGGUUGGUGGAUUAUAAAGUGGGCACUGCAGUGACGGGGGUUCCGUGGGCCAGCCUAAUUAGAGGGGCACGGUUCCCAAUUAUUGAGCUUACCUCGAUUGGAGAGGCGCGUAGGAUAACUCCCGAGGUAGGAUUUGAGUACACUUCACGCUGGCCACCACGUGAAAGUGGGACUCAGCCAACGCCAAGGAACGGCUGUGUUGUCAGAGGUGAAAUGUGUUUGUGUGUGUGACAAUAAACAGCCUUGGCAGUCUCG